GUUCCUCAAAAAAGGGGGGGUACAAUGCUGUUUCAUGCAUUCAGAGUUGUUUACACUGUUAAAGAGUAGGAUUCUCAUGUUAAACACACCAAAGAUUUAGAUAACUAUUUGGACGUAUAACAGACUAUUUCUGGGUUUCUUACAAGUUUCAGAAAGCUUUUAUUUUACGCUUUUGGCUCUUCAUGACUUACUGAAGGGUUGAACUCCUUAUACGGGCACUUCUCCCGGAAGGGCACGCUCGUGCACACAUUAGGGCCUUUCGCACCGCAGGAACCUUUUCAUAGUACCAGAACUAAUUGUGGAACUACCCACUUUUGGGCGUUUUCGCACCGCCGGAACUGGGUUACUGACGUAAGUAGACAUUGAUUGGCCAAACGCGUUCGAAAACGCCAUGUAAACAUACUGUAAACAUUGUGUAAACUUAUUUUGCAAGUAUGACGAACAGCGAUAAAUAUACGGACGCUGAAGUGCAGGCAUUUGUAGCAAAUGUAGCACUGCCAGUUGUCGUUGGAGAUUCUUAGUCCUCCUUUCCGUUCUUUCAUUCGCUUUACGUAUACGUCGACAUUCAUUGUCCAUUAUUGUGAAACCCGCGAGACACAACAAAUACACAGCUCCGAUCACAGCGUCCUCCAUCCACCUGUUGUUAACAUUGUUCUUCUUUGUUUCCACCGUGCACAAAUGACAUCGCUGUCGACCAGCUUACGUCACUUCCUAGUACACACUGUCUGUGCAAUGCAACCCUUUAAAUGGUACUGGGAAAUAGUUCGUGCAAAAUUGUCCCAGUACUUUAGUACUGUACAUUUAGUUCUGGAACUAAAGAGGUGCAAAGGCCCUAUAAACCAGAACGAAAGGAAGAGCAGCCCAUCAACGCGCUUCAUUCAGCAGCGCUGUAUGGGACUCGCUCAGGAAGUAUGUCUUUAAAGAAGUGUGUUUUUGGUUGUAAGGGAAAGAUGACCUUGUUCAGUUUCCUGAAGAAUCCAGCGUUAUGUAAACAGCGGGUGCAGUUUGUUUUUCUGGGGCAGCAACAGAGUUUCUCAAGUGUGUUUGUUGAGAAACGUUUUAUAAACAAGGCCCAGUUCGAUGCUGGAUAUGCACAUCAUUUGAUACUGAAAGAUAGAGUGGUCCCAGGUAUAAAAAAUCCCAGUCAUGAGUCAAAACUGCAGACGCCACAAAACAGGCCGGACGGAUAGAGCAUCCCACGCCUUCCCAUGAUGCCUUUCCCUUUGCGUCCUUUACCCCAUUCCAUCCUGUGAGAGUGUGGAAAUUAUUAGGGUGGGUCUUCUUGCACAAGACAUCGGGCUUAAAUCACUCAUCAUUACACACACAAACACAAACACAGAGCCCAGCUGGAUUCUCUGUUUGACCCCCCUAAAAUGGGUAAUCAGUCACUCUGACACUU
ensembl:lncRNA